UACGACUAUAUCACUUUGAACACACCGGUCAUCGUCUGAUCACCGAAGUUAAGCAACGUCGAGUCUAGUCAGGACUUUGAUGGUGACCGCUUCGAAAUAGCUGGUGCUGUAAG